rnacentral:lncRNA from 1 species
GCCAGGAUGGGACAGGCACUCGCCUUGGGGACGACAUGGGGUGCUGGGUUUGGAGAGAGGAGGGUGGGGGUUGGGGUCUGGCUGUGUGACCUUGGACAUAGCGCUGGGCCUCUCUGGGCUUCUGGCUCCCUAUUUUUCUCUUUUUCUGGGGUAGGGGUUGAGACACAUCUGGCUAUGGAGCCCAGGCUGGCCACAGACUUGAGGUGGUCCUUCUACGUCAGCCUCCGAGAGCUGGGGCGACAGGUGUGCACCACCAUGGCUGGCGGGCUCCCUGUGUUGAAAGGGUCAAAUGGUGGCUGAGAGCAACGUAGGUACAAUAGGGAACCCGAGGAAGAAAUGGGAUGGAAACUGUUUUAUUUUCCUUUGUUCUUCUAAGCUCUGGGCAGAGGUCAGUCCAGGGGGCUUUGAUCUUCACUGGCUUGUCGCUGUCUCUGCCGGGCACUGAGGAGCACUGAGUGUGUGUCCAGGCCAGAGGACAGCGCCCUCCCGCCCUCCUGGCCUGGAUGUGCGGGCCCCGCAGGGACAGGAGGACUUCUGGGGAGGGGCUGCCUGCAGGCUGGAGCCCCACCCCACCUCCUGGGGUCCGAAGGAUAAGCCAGGUCCCCACCCUGACUAGGCCUGGCUCCCCUCCUCCUCUGCACUCCAACCCUUUGCUCAUUCAUCCCCUCUGGCCACCACAGCCUUGUUUCUUCUAUCGCCUGGGGACUCCUAUGCAUCCUUCAAAACACAGCCUGGAUAUUGCCAGCUUCCCAGCACCUCCUGGAGAGAGAGUCAGACAAAGACAGAGGAAACUGAGAUCCAGAGGUACCGGGGACUGA